ACUGCAGUUGCCACUGUAAUUCCAGAUCUGCUGGAGAAAGGCCAUCACAGAGCUCAUGAAGGAGGAGUGUUCCCCUCACAAAUUUAUUUCUCGUGGGGGUGGUAAGAGGUGUGUCCUCUCUCCUCUCCAGGGGUGGGUGAGUAGGUCUCAAAAGAUAAAUCCACUCUGACACUCCAACCUCCCCAAGCCUUUGAGUCCCAUCCUCUGCCACGCAGAGAGGCAGGCCUGGCAUUUCAGCCUCACUUUGUGUAGGUCACUUUUUGGUCUGUGUUGUAGCUCACCAACCAACCAGUCAAACCCCAGCAGUGGUAGCACGAGGUCCAGAACCUCUGCUUAGUGGGCCCGUAUCAAUAAACGCAACCUGACCCAAUUUUUUGUUCCUUUCCCCAUUAUCCCUACUGUAGGGUCUCCUGGUUCCCCCUGCUUUUUUUUUCUUUUCUUUUCUUUUUUUUUUUUUUUUGAGACAGAGUCUCGCUCUGUCGCCCAGGCUGGAGUGCAGUGGUGUAAUCUCAGCUCACUGCAACCUCCACCUCCCAGAUUCAAGUGAUUCUCAUCCCUCAGCCUCCCAAGUAGCUGGGAUUACAGGCAUGCGCCACCACACCCAGCUAAUUUUUGUAUUUUUAGUAGAGAUAGGGUUUCACCGUGUUGGCCAGGCUGGUCUUGAACUCCCGACCUCAGGUGAUCCACCCAUCUCAGCCUCCCAAAGUGCUGGGAUGACGGGCAUGAGCCACCACACCUGGCCUCCCCUGCUUUCUUUCUGUGUCCUGACCAAGAAUCACAAAGUGCAGCCAGGCAUGUGGCUCACGCCUGUAAUCCCAGCACUUUGGGGGACUGAGGCAGGAGGAUUGUUUGAGCCUAGGAAUUCAAGACCAGCCUGGGUGAGAUGGUAAGGCCCUAUCUCUAAUUUUUUAAAAAUUAAAUUAAAAAAUUCUAGGCUGGGUGCAGUGUUCGAGAUCAGCCUCGCCAACAUGGCGAAACCCUAUCUCUACUAAAAAUACAAAAAUUAGCCAGGCAUACUGGCGAGCGCCUGUAAUCCCAGCUACUCAAGAGGCUGAGGCACAAGAAUUGCUUGAACCCAGGCGUGAGACGGAGGCUGCAGUGAGCCGAGAUCUCACCACUGCACUCCAGCCUAAAUGACAGACCAAGACUCUGUCUCCAAAAAAAAAAAAAAAAAAAAAAAUCUAGGUUGUGGGCUAAAACACUGAAAGAAACUGGCCCAGCCCUGAGCCAAAUCCCUUAAACUUCCAUAUCCACUCCACACCGUGUCCCCUUGCUGCAGAGAUAUCAAGGGAGGGCACCUCUUCUCUCUCGCUUUUGUUGCAAGGAUACGCUGCGGCCUUCUGUAAGUCCCCCUAAUAAAUGCUCUGGAGUGCUCACCCUGGCGUUUAGCGUUCCUUAGUUCAGAUCCCAACUGGCCCCAUCUUGCAAUGCUUUGGGGCCAUCCUGUGCCCUUUGGGGCACUCCUGGCCACCGCUUUUGGGGCGAUGCCAGCUGUGGGUUCUGCAGGGUGAAACAUCCACCCUUAAAAUCCACUCCCACAUGCUCCCCGGAUUUCUGUGGGUAUAAAUUGGGAAAAUGGUGCAUUUCUUGUGGAGCCUUGUUCCGUGCCCUCCAGGGCCUGGGGCAGGCCCCAUGUGUGCUGAGCCUGUGCACAUGCUGUGCCCAUCACUGCUGAGCUAAGCCCUCCUGAGUCCCCCUCCCUGACCCCUGGAGCUUCCUCCACACAUCCUAGCAUCAUUACUCUGCUGCAGUUGCUCCCAGCCCUAUCAUCUUCUGACACUACCUCACUACCAGGUCUCCCCAGCUAUGCUGUGAGACCUUGAGCGCGGGGUCUCACCUAUCUCGUUCACAGCUGCACCCCCAGCCAUAUUUUUUUUUGCAAAUAUUUACUGAAAGGAUACUCAGUAAAUAUUUGCAAAAAAAGGUUUUUGGGGGGUUUUUUUUGGAGGCACAGUCUCUGUUGCCCAGAGCAAGACCCCACCCCAUCUCAAAACAAAAAAAAAGACAGUACAUCUGAAUGUUUCAUUUGUCUAUGGAUUUCCACCUGAUUACUCCAGAAAG
rnacentral:lncRNA from 10 species